GGACCUUUAGGUAUACUGUCAUAGUCUAUAGAGUUGUGUAGGAACUUAUAGUUCAGUGAUAUGGUACCCCUCGUGGAGAUAGUGCAUAAAAGGAACCUGUCCAAUGCAUUGUCCCAAUCCUCAUCUGUUAGAAGUCAUAUAGUCCUGCUGGUAUAUGUUUGAGCUUGUAGAACAGAAAACACAUUAUUUUGUAUGAAGGGAAAUGUGGUUUGCAGUUGUACAAACGUUAAUGGCUUACGAGUGUCCCUCAUUGUUAAUUGGCGAAUUGUUGUCACCCCUUCUUUACCCCAAUCCUGAUAGAUUGUCAAAGCCCGCCCACUCUGGAAUCCUGGGUUGGAUAAAAGAGGUAGGUAUAAGGAGUGGCUGCUAUUCAAGUUAUUCUGUUUCCUCAACUCUUUCCACGUUUGCCAAGUGGAGUAUAACAGUGGGUUGUCUGUAAUGUCGGUUGUAAGCUCCGCUCUAUGCAUGUGUAGGAGAUAUAAUAGGUUCGUCUGAGGGACAAACUGUUGUUCUUGGGAGGUGUUCGUGUAUAUUUCUGAAUUAUGGAUCCAAUCCUUCAAAUGUCUCAUUGUGGCUGCGAGAUUGUAUUGUUUAAGAUUGGGAAAGUUGAGGCCCCCGUUUAAGGUGGUUUGCUGAAGUUUCCUUAAACUAAUUUGAGCUUUUUUACCAUUCCAUAUGAACUCCCUGAACAAUUCAUAGAGAGUUCGGACGUCCCUGUCAGACAUUAGUAGGGGGAGACUUUGUAGCUUGUAUAGAAGUUUGGGGAACACCACCAUCUUAAUCAGAUUGGCUCUUCCCAUAGCCGAGAGUUGAUAGUUUUGCCAGUUUUUUAGAUCCUGUGUAAUUUCCACUAUACUACUUGUGAUGUUACAGGUGUACAGCUCAUGCAGUUUUUUCGGUAUCCGAAUACCCAGAUACGUAAUCACGUCUUUGGCCCAUGUUAGAUUAUAUUUGUUACUCCACUGAGGUUUCCCUUUGGACCCUAAUGGCAUGAUCACUGAUUUGUUUACGUUGAUGCAAUAGCCUGAGGCUAGCCCUUACUGAUGAAUAAUGGAGAGGAUGUGCGGAAAAGCUUGUUUAGGAUUUGCUUUAUAUAAAAGGAGAUCAUCCGCAAAGGCCGUAAUUUUGGUUUCGUGAUCUCCAACCUUGAUGCCUUGAAAAGUCACCAUGUCUUGGAGGAUUCUCAAAAGGGGGUCUAACGUAUGAUUUUUUUUUUAAUGGUUUAGUUCUGCAGAUACUGACAUGAUCCUAUGUAUUGUAAGAAUGUCUCUAUCGCUUUGGGUCCUUGAUCUGCAUGACUCAGGUUGUUACUGGAGGGUUCAUCCAAUAAACCAGGGAUUUUAUGCCAUGAACAAGUGUGUAAAAAUUCAUAAAUAAAAAAAUAAUUUAGGGAGAAGGGGCAACAGGUAGGGCAGAGAAUACCAGGGGAUCAUAUUGCUAAUUUUACACUGAAAAUGACAGCAUAGGAAAUAGGGCCUUGGGCUGCAGCAUCAUCUAAUCCUUGGUAGGGAGAAUCUAUUGACCCCACUUUGUCAGCCAAACAGUUGGAGCUUUGGGAGCUAUAAUUGUCCUUUUAUUUGAUCCUGCCCUUAAGUAGUUGCACACUCGCUGACAUGUUCUCCCUGCCUGGUGUUACUGAGUCAAUGGCACCAAGUCGUGACUGUGCCAAACCGGCCACAAAAAUAGAAAAAGACUGAAAAACUUAUUUGGGGUUACCCGUAGUUUUAUUUUCAUUAAUUUUUAAUGUUUAGAAUAAAUAGAAUCAAAGGAAUCUAUCCAUUCUACAGAGGAGGGAUGCCAUUAACCCGAACCACAAUGUUAAGUAAUAACCCUUAAUUAUUUGCAUACAAUAUACACAAACCUCUUCCGUUCCCUGUGUGCUUGUGGGGAUAUAAAUAUGAGUGAGUGCAGGCAGGGGCUCAGUGAUCUGUAUCAGGCCUGUGUGCAGUGAUCAGUAUGGUGUCCCACAGCUGCUUGCUGCCUAUACUCAUGCUCUGGCUUCAGGGUUCCUAUGGGGAGAUUGUACUGACUCAGUCUCCAGAUUAUGUCUCUGUGUCACCAGGAGAAACUGUCACCCUCACAUGUAAAGCCAGUGACAGUGUUGUUGACAAAGAUGGAAAAAACAGAAUACGCUGGUUCCAACAGAAAUCAGGGCAGGUACCAAAGAGAAUAAUCUAUUUUGCAAGUACCCGAGAAACAGGGACCCCAGAGAGGUUCAAUGGCAGUGGGUCUGGAACUGAUUUCACUCUUACAAUCAGCAGAAUGGAAGCAGAAGAUGCAGCAGAUUAUUACUGUCAGCAGAAUGCUCAGUUCCCUCUCACACAGUGAUACAGGGCUGAACAA